GUUCAACUUCUCAAAAUGAGGUUCCCUGCUCAGCUCCUUGGGCUGCUUAUGCUUUGGUUCCCUGGAUCCAGUGGGGAAAUCGUGAUGACACAGACCCCACUCUCCCUGCCCGUCACCCCCGGAGAGCCGGCCUCCAUCUCCUGCAGGGCCAGUCAGAGCCUCCUGCACAGUGAUGGAAAAACCUAUUUGAAUUGGUUCCGGCAGAAGCCGGGCCAGUCUCCACAGUGCCUGAUCUACUUGGUUUCCAACCGUCUCUCUGGGGUCCCAGACAGAUUCAGUGGCAGCGGGUCAGGGACAGAUUUCACCCUGACCAUCAGCAGGGUGGAGGCUGAUGAUGUGGGAGUUUAUUACUGUGCACAAAGUCUACAGUCUCCUCGGACGUUCGGCGCAGGGACCAAGGUGGAAAUCAAACGGAAUGAUGCCCAGCCAUCCGUCUUUUUGUUCCAACCAUCUCCGGACCAGUUAAAUACCGGCAGUGCCUCUGUCGUGUGCUUGCUGAAUGGCUUCUACCCCAGAGAAGUCAGUGUCAAAUGGAAGGUUGAUGAUGUUACCAAAAACACAGGCAUCCUGGAAAGUGUCACAGAACAGAACAGCAAGGACAGCACCUACAGCCUCAGCAGCACCUUGACGAUGCCCAGUACGGAGUACCUAAGUCAUGAGAAGUACUCCUGUGAGGUCACUCACAAGAGCCUGUCUUCCCCUCUUGUCAAGAGUUUCCAAAGGAGCGAGUGCCAAUGAGUGGCCUAGCAGUCCCCACCACCUAUCCCUCAGUCCCAGCCUCUGUGCCUCCCCCGUCAGGCCUCUGGUCCUUUCCAUCAGAGACCCACCCCUGUUGCAGACCCCUCUCCCCACCUUACUACCUCCCCUUUUGGCUUUAAUCAUGCUAAUAAUAUUUGGGGGGAACGAAAAAAUAAAGUGAAUCUUUGCACCUGUGA